AACAAGUAGCAUGUUCUGUUUUUGAUCUCGCCAGUUUUUUGUUUCCCGCAUAUCGCUGACCAGUCAUCAUAAGAUGUUCUGGCGGCACAUUUAAAGAUUGAAUUCAGGAAAGUAUAUUAUGUCAACUGUUACCGGUAACGUUAAGUUUUUCAACGAAGCAAAAGGUUUUGGCUUUAUCACUCGCGAAAGCGGCCCAGACGUUUUUGUUCACUACAGCUCCAUUAAGGGCGACGGCUUCAAGACUCUGGCCGAAGGCCAAGAAGUUGAGUUCACCGUUACUCAGGGCGAGAAAGGCCCACAGGCGGAAAACGUAGUUGCUGUGUAAAUAACACGCAACACGCAGUGAAAAAGGCAGCUUCGGCUGCCUUUUUUCG
rnacentral:sRNA from 1 species